rnacentral:rRNA from 1 species
AAGCGAGGGCGUGAGCCGGAGCGAAUCCCAAAAAUAACGUCUCAGUUCGGACUGCAGGCUGCAACCCGCCUGCACGAAGCUGGAAUCGCUAGUAAUCGCGAAUCAGAAUGUCGCGGUGAAUACGUUCCCGGGUCUUGUACACACCGCCCGUCACACCAUGGGAGUCAGUAACGCCCGAAGUCAGUGACCUAACCGAGAGGGAGGAGCUGCCGAAGGCGGGACGGAUAACUGGGGUGAAGUCGUAACAAGGUAGC